rnacentral:misc_RNA from 1 species
AAGUCGUAACAAGGUUUCCGUAGGUGAACCUGCGGAAGGAUCAUUAAUAAAUGAACUCCGAUGGGUCGGAAUCUAAUUUUAGUUUUCGGCCCAUUAACCCACCUCUGUGAACUGUUUACUGCAUUUCCUCCUCAUCUGGAGCGUGGCGGCCGUUGGUUAUAAUAUAAAAUAUAAUUAUAUACAUUAUAAUAUUUCCAUUGGCGCGCGCUUUAACGUGGAGGGUAGUCUUUUUAUUUUACCCCAUUUGUCUUCUAAGGUCAAUCUUUACUUUUAUUCUACACGCUCCCCAAGAGAGUAGCGAAUAAAAAACAAAAAAAGAAAAACAACUUUUAACAACGGAUCUCUUGGCUCCCA